GAUCAGAGGGACAAACUGAUGGGAGGAGAUGAGGAGAGAAGUCCUACAUGUGAGCCGUGUUCCUGAGGACCAUCACCAGAGAGACUCCACAGCAGAACACCAGGCUCUUCACUAUCAGCACGACGUACAGCCGGCACAGCAGCUUCACCUGGUACGGAGACGGGCCCGGAGCUGACGGAGGAGCUGACGGAGGAGCUGACGGAGGAGCUGACGGAGGAGCUGAUGGAGGAGCUGAUGGAGGAACUCUGUCCUCUGAAACAGAAAAGCAGGGACUGGUUGUGAGUGAGGAGCAUCAGGAGGAGCCUCCUCUGCUCCUCUGCUGUCUUUACAGCAGCGUCUCCACGUGAAGAUGAAGAUGAUGACCUCUGGUCACCUUGUUCGCUCGGGGCCUCCACCUUUCCCCCCUCGUGGUGGACGUAGCAGCGGUAUCGAUAGCGGCUGGUCUCCUGCUGAUGGAGCAGCAAGAUGGAGGCGGUGCGUCCGGACUCUGUGAACUCCAGCUGCUCUGCAUCAUCAGGGAGCUUCUCCUGCAGAGAACCGUGCUCCUCACGUCUCCUCCAGGAGAACCGGACCAGAGGAGGAAACAUGGAGGAGGCCACACACAGCAGGGAGCUCCUCCCCUGCAGGUGGGCGCUGGAUGCUGCUGGGUACACGCUCACCACGGGCUUCACCACCGGCUCACCUGAAGACAUAAAUAACACGACGUCAUGUGAUGUAACCUACAAGAAUAUGAUGUAAAGUAACGUGAAUAAUGUAAUAUAAUACAAUGUAAUACAAUGUAAUAUAAUACAACGUAAUAUAAUGUAAUAUAAUACAAUGUAAUAUAAUGUAAUAUAAUACAACGUAAUAUGAUGUAAUAUAAUACAACGUAAUAUAAUGUAAUAUAAUACAAUGUAAUAUGAUGUAAUGUAAUAUGAUGUAAUGUAAUAUGAUGUAAUAUAAUACAACGUGAUAUGAUGUAAUUUGUCAACAUUACAUAACGUAAUGAAAUAUAAUAUAAGUUUAUAUUACAUUAUAUUAUGUAACAUAAUAGAACACAAAAUAAUGAAUAAAUUGAUAAUCAACACAGCACAGAGUUCACUGCACACAGAAUGUGUUCACCUGAAUUCUAUUAUUACAAAUACUACAUUACAACAAAAUAUGACUAAAUGAUAAUUUCUCAAUAUUUCUGUAAAAUGAUUUCAUACAAAAUAUAACAGAUCAUUUAAAAAUAAAAUGUGUCAUGAAAACGUAAACCUUUAUUAAUAUGACAUGUAUCAAAUUUGACUAAUAUCUUUCCCAAUUAAAUAAUAAGUAUAAUAAUAAUAAUAAUGAAUAUUGUGACGCUUAAAACCAAAAAUAAAUAUAAGACACAACCCUAAAAAUAUUUUCUUAGAGGGAAACACACGUAUGAUCUGAUGAUUUACGGUCACGCUAACAGAAAGCCAACAAACAUUCUAAUGAACUGCAUAUUUUAGUCUUUUCCUAAAAUACAAUCUUCAUUUCAGUUACUGUCGUUAUAACAAUACUAUUUAUUUAGCCAGCUUACAAUUUACUCUUGUUACUACUACUACUAAUAAUAAUACCUCGAUUAAAAGACUGACAAAUUGUAGCACUUAAAUUGUACUUAUGUCACUUAUCUAUAGCAAAUUGUAAAUUGGCUUAUUUAAUGAUGUUGUACUUUCUUGUUUCUUGUUCCUCUGAGUUUGUGUCCUUAUGGUUAAAAGUACUUAUUGUAAGUCGCGUUGGAUAAAAGCGUCAGAUAAAUGACGUGUGAUGUGAUGUAAUACUAAUAAUAAUACUAAUAAUUUGUCUUUAAAACAAUAUACCGUCACUUAAAAUAUUAACGGCAAGUAUUUACUAAUUCUAUCAUAGUAGAUUAUAUUAUUAUUAGAGUAUAUAUAUAUUUAAAGUAAAACAUUUUCAGUUUGAAAACAAGGAUCAUUUUUAUUUAAUAUACUUUCUGAUUUAAGAUGAAGCUCAAUAACUGAAAGGAUCAGAUUCUGUAUCAUUUAAAUACAUUUAAAUCACUUUAAUCUUCUGCAGGAAUAAAGAAUAACUCAGUCAUUUUUAUCAUUAGUGAUGCACAGCAGCUGCACGGGAUCAAUAUUUAUCUACUAAUGAUGAAAACAUUAAUAUGUGAAGCAUCGUGAACUCAUUAAAAUCACAUUUUCAACUUGUUCAGUGAAACAACUGAAGGAAUUAAACGUUUAUUCUUACCUGUUACGUACAGUUUGGUCCCAGAGCCAAAGAUUAAGUAAUAAGGGGAAACACACAGUGAAAGAGAGCGAGACAAAAACCUGCUGAGGACGAGUCGAUGAGCCGGAGUCACAUUUCAUCUCCAGGACGAGUUUCUCAUUUCUUCAUAUUAACGGUUUCUUCUUUUCUUUCUUCUUAAACUCACUAAAGCACAACGUCUCCGAGGACACGUUCAUGGUCCUCAGAGGACGAACCCAGCGCACUUUGGUGAGUUUGUAGCUGUUUAGGACAAAAACAAAUAACGGAUCAACAAGGACACAUUUCUGAACUUAAGCCAAAGGUCCCACAGAGAAAACCUUCAUUAACCCGAUGUUGUCAGUCAGGCCGGAGCCGGGGAGGAGGACAAUGACGGCGAGCCUUACAUCAGGGUGGUACCCCGAUGUAAGGCUCGCCGAGG
ensembl:lncRNA